AAUACUCCUUGUAAAGAAUACGCAGUAAGUACAAAAAAAUCCACACGUCUGUUAUGAUACAAAACACAGGUUGAAAUAAAUGAUAAUUUUGACUUUUUUUCUUGUGUAAACAUGUUAACCAUUUUUCCUUUUCAUGAAAAAGUACACCAGACAAGUGUCCUCAAAUAAAAAAGAAUUGCUUCGCUGGCAUUCUUCAAGACCUUUACUAUUUUUGUAUUAUUCUUUUGACCAUUAUUUUUUAACGCCUGGACCUGAGAAUCUCUACACCUCAAAAAGGCUUAGUUGUUUUUCAUCUGCCAAACGUCAAGGGAGCCUCUAGUGCCUGGACAGGGCGGACUCCCUUCCCCGGCACCCUCUUCCUCCCUACCCCAGGUCGGGGGUUGGGGGGCUGUAGCAUAGCGUUAUUAACAAUUGGAAAUCCUAG
ensembl:lncRNA FOXD1-AS1 FOXD1 antisense RNA 1